CUACUCUUGACAUCCAGAGAACUUAGCAGAGAUGCUUUGGUGCCUUCGGGAACUCUGAGACAGGUGCUGCAUGGCUGUCGUCAGCUCGUGUUGUGAAAUGUUGGGUUAAGUCCCGCAACGAGCGCAACCCUUAUCCUUUGUUGCCAGCGGUUAGGCCGGGAACUCAAAGGAGACUGCCAGUGAUAAACUGGAGGAAGGUGGGGAUGACGUCAAGUCAUCAUGGCCCUUACGAGUAGGGCUACACACGUGCUACAAUGGCGCAUACAAAGAGAAGCGACCUCGCGAGAGCAAGCGGACCUCAUAAAGUGCGUCGUAGUCCGGAUUGGAGUCUGCAACUCGACUCCAUGAAGUCGGAAUCGCUAGUAAUCGUAGAUCAGAAUGCUACGGUGAAUACGUUCCC
rnacentral:rRNA from 1 species